rnacentral:lncRNA from 1 species
UUUUUAUUUUAUAGGAAAUUCAACGAGAUUUCAUUGCAUAUGAUUAAUUUUUUUCUCUAAUUCAAUGUUUUAAGCUAAAUCCAGGCAUUUAAUGAAUCGAUAUAAAGUUUAACAUUUGUAAAAAAUAGUUUAUUGUUUACAUUUCAACAGAGACCUAUAAUACAAUUGCUCUGAUUUCAACAAUAUUGUAUAUCCUAUAAUAUCUAUCGACAGAGUUAUCGGUCCCGAAUAGGACUGAUAUAGUUGGGUAUGG